GGAUGUGGCUCAAGUGGUAGUAUGCUCGCCUGGUAUGCGUGGGGCACUGGGUUCGAUCCUCAGCACCA
rnacentral:tRNA from 1 species